rnacentral:rRNA from 1 species
CUGCCGGUGAUAAACCGGAGGAAGGUGGGGACGACGUCAAGUCAUCAUGGCCCUUACGAGUAGGGCUACACACGUGCUACAAUGGUACGUACAGAGGGAGGCAAGCUGGCGACAGUGAGCGGAUCUCUUAAAGCGUAUCGUAGUCCGGAUCGCAGUCUGCAACUCGACUGCGUGAAGUCGGAAUCGCUAGUAAUCGCAAAUCAGAAUGUUGCGGUGAAUACGUUCCCGGGCCUUGUACACACCGCCCGUCACACCAUGGGAGUGGGUUGCAAAAGAAGUAGGUAGCUUAACCGCAAGGAGGGCGCUUACCACUUUGUGAUUCAUGACUGGGGUGAAGUCGUAACAAGGUAACCCUAGGGGAACCUGGGGUUGGAUCACCUCCUUACCUAAAGCAG